GAUGAAGAACGUAGCGAAAUGCGAUAAGUAAUGUGAAUUGCAGAAUUCAGUGAAUCAUCGAAUCUUUGAACGCACCUUGCACCCUUUGGACUGCUCCAAAGGGUAUGCUCGUUUGAGUGUCAUUGUACUCUCACACUCUCUGAUCCUUUGGAUUUGGGGAGCGGUGGACUUGGGUGCUUGCUGCUUCCUUGUGGCUCACCUGAAAUGCAUCAGUGCAUCUCUCGAUUGGACAUAGUACGGCGUGAUAAGUGUCUUCGCCGGCACCUCAUAUGAGGGUGGCCGAUCGGGAGCUCUGUGCUUUCAAACCGUCUUCGGAUAACGCUGACAACUUGACCUCAAAUCGAGUAGGACUACCCGCUGAACUUAAGCAUAUCAAUAAGCGGAGGA
rnacentral:misc_RNA from 1 species